CGCCCCCUGCCGCUCCCGGGCUCCCAUUGGACACGUUUCUGGCGGCUACCGCUUCCGGCGGCUGGCGCGGGCGUCAUUUCCGCUGGAUUCCGGCUUGGCUGGCAGCGCCGGGCAGGAGGCGCUGUUCUCGGUUGUAGGUGCUGUGUGCUGAACCUGAUCCUAGACGGGGAUCUGCUCUCUCUCUCUCUCUCUCUCUCUACGCCACUUCUGGCGCCUUCGUCGCCCGCUGUCAAGCAGUGGGGAUCAUGCAGCGCAUGCUCGAGCGCAAGCUUAGCCUUCGAACUUUGUACCUAGAGCGCACGAGCCUCCCCUUCUGCAGCAGCGGGUCGGAAGUCACCCAACGAGUGCGCUCCAGGAUGGCACCAGAGCUAGAGGCAGAGAGGAGGGACUCACUGCCGUUACUUAGAACACACUAAGAGGCUUUUUGUUUUAUUUUGUUUUGUUUUGUUUUAAUUCUUAAAAUAUUCUCGUUUGCGGAGCAGCUUAUUCUCGUUAUACUGCCAGCGGACUGGAGAGACACUGUGCACUCCUAGGCGGAUUUUCUUUUAUUAAAAACGAAAAGUUCCAGCUUGGGCAUGUAGCUCGGUUGGUAGAAGUGUGGUGGAAAAAUCUGCAGUCAACAGCACUUGAGAGAUGGAAGCAGAGUCAUAAAUUCAAAGUCAACCUCAGAUACACAUUAAGUUGGAGUACCUGAAAUCAAUAAUAAUAAUGUAGCCUUGGAAAUGGAACUAUAAGUGCGUAAGGAAGCUGGUGCACACAGCCUGUAGAUACUACCCAGUGUUGAUGAACAUGCCUUGAGUGAAUGAGUCUGCAGAAACUGAUGCUAAACUAAAGUCUGUAAAGCUUACAUAUUGCACAACUACACUUACAGGAACGUUUUAAAAAGGCAAAGUGAUACAAAUGACAAGCACAGCAAAGGGCUCCCAGGGGAUAAGAAGUGGAUCCAUGGUAGAAAGUCUGUAUUUGGGCUCUAUGGAUAUCAUCAUGCCCGAGUUUGUGGUACUGUCCUGUGGCUUUGUCAGACACUACUAUUGAGGGAAAGUAAUGUAAGAUAUAAUGGUGAUAAUAAUAAAUAAUACAUUAUCUUACUUCUUUUAAAAAGGUCUGUGUGUGUGUGUGUGUGUGUGUGUGUGUGUGUGUGUGUGCACUCGCCCACACGAGCAUGCAUACAGAUGCCCAUAGAGGCCAGAAAAAAGGCAUUGGAUCAACACAGGCUGGAAUUGGUUAUAAGUCACCAGAUGUAGGUAGUAGGGACCCAGCUCAUGUCCCCUGACCCAUCUCUCCAGCCCCUCUGUAUUAUUUCUUGAAACUUCAUGUGACACCUUGAUAAUUGCUCAUUUAAGCUUAAGAAAUGGGCUGGACAUGAUGGUGCAUGCCUUUAACUCCAGCAGUCAGGAGGCAGAACCAGGCAGACCUCUGAGAUUUUUAGGUCUGCGGAUUCCUAGAAUUCCGGGUCAUCCAGAGUUACAUUGUGAAACACUGUCUCAAAACAAACAAACAAAACAAAAAACAAAACAAAACAAACAAAAACCCCCAAAGCUUAAGGAAUUACAGCUGCAGACUUGACAGGGCACUUCUCAUGGGUGCUCUCAGAAACCUCUGUGAAAAACAAAUACUAUAUUACUGGUUAAGUCAGGUCUUAGGAUAUGAAUGGUCUAUAAAAUCAAUGUAGGUGAAUAAACCUUUAAACAACAAACUUCACUAAGCAAAUCUAAGCAACUUACAAUAAUAAGUCAUUCGCUGGCCAACUUAAAAGGUCUGCAAAUGAAAUACCCCGUUAUGUGCAAGGAUCCAGUGAACUGGCUCUCUCUUGAGCCUUAGACACUGACACUUGUAAUGGAAAACCAUUUGAAAACUAUUUAUCAGUAAUCCCCAAAUGAAUGAUUAACUUGAGGGAUGGUAGCUUUGCUGGUACAUUCAUAUUAUGCAGUCAUCAGAAAUAUUUUUGAAAGCUAAUAGUAGAGGGAAUGCCUUUUGACUAAUGUGUGAACAAUGCUAGUUUGCCGUUUUGUUUUUUGAGAUAGGGUCUUGCCACGCAGUCGAGUCUGAGCUCAGCCUAGAGACUGUUUCUGUCCUACGGCUGAGUGAGUAGCAUGGCUAUAGGCGUGUGCCAUUGUGCUGAGGGGUUAAAGCUUUCUGAAGAAAUAUUGAAAAGAUUUGAAACUUUUCAUGCAGUCAGUUAACUACUGUUGGUUAAUAACCGAUGGAAAGAAAACCUGUAGCCUUGAGGAGCAUUGAUGCAACAGGUGAACGUGAAGGAAACCUAGCUCGAGUAACAUGGGCUUGGGUUCCUACUAAGGUGAAAUAUGUUUCCUUUAGGUUUGGGCAGAGGAUGAAGUUAGUAACCACCGUAGCCAAGAAUAUCCCAAGAUAGAUGUAUGGAAUUUAUCAUAGCUAGGGAAUGUAUUCAUAUGAAAUGACAAGAUAUGAAAACCGACCAAGUAGAAUAUGCAGCUUAUCAACACACAUAGAUCAGCUCUAAUAAAGCAGUUUUAAUGUCAGCUUUCUAGAGUCCUACCCUUGCCUUUCAGGUAUAUAAGGCCUCCCUUCCUCACCCUCUUCAAAAUUCUCUUAAUUAGUAUUUUAUUAUGAAGUCAUUUUUUUAUAGAUGCUCUGGAGUCAGGAUAUGUUUUAUACUUUUCAGUGCUUUCUGAUCAUCUAACUCCAAAUUUGAUUUUCUUUGCUCAGAAUUUCUUACUGGUUAGUAAUCUCUCUGUGUUCUAAUACAAUAUUAGUUCCUUGGGAGAUUUUUGUGUUACUUAUUACCAAACAAGGACACAAACUUCUUUUAAUUCACUUCAUGGUUUAGAUUACCAAAUGCAGGGUAUGGCAUAUGACCAACAUAAAAGAAAAUUACAAUAAACCUUGUCAACAAAAUAAAACUAUUUACAAACUUG